GCGGCGAACGGGUGAGGAACACGUGAAGAAUCUGCCUUCAACUCUGGGAUAACUCCGGGAAACCGGGGCUAAUACCGGAUAUGAGCCUUGAUCGCAUGAUCGGGGCUGGAAAGUUUUUCGGUUGAAGAUGACUUCGCGGCCUAUCAGCUUGUUGGUGAGGUAAUGGCUCACCAAGGCGACGACGGGUAGCCGGCCUGAGAGGGCGACCGGCCACACUGGGACUGAGACACGGCCCAGACUCCUACGGGAGGCAGCAGUGGGGAAUAUUUGGCAAUGGAGGAAACUCUGACCCAGCGACGCCGCGUGAGGGAUGAAGGCCUUCGGGUUGUAAACCUCUUUCAGUAGGGAAGAAGCGAAAGUGACGGUACCUACAGAAGAAGCACCGGCUAACUAUGUGCCAGCAGCCGCGGUAAUACAUAGGGUGCAAGCGUUGUCCGGAAUUAUUGGGCGUAAAGAGCUCGUAGGUGGUUCGAUACGUCGGAUGUGAAAAUCAGGGGCUCAACCCCUGACCUGCAUCCGAUACGGUCGAGCUAGAGUUUGGUAGGGGAGACUGGAAUUCCUGGUGUAGCGGUGGAAUGCGCAGAUAUCAGGAGGAACACCGAUGGCGAAGGCAGGUCUCUGGGCCAAUACUGACACUGAGGAGCGAAAGCGUGGGGAGCGAACAGGAUUAGAUACCCUGGUAGUCCAC
rnacentral:rRNA from 1 species